rnacentral:sRNA from 1 species
AAUUAUAGUAUUUUAUAAUAGCUAUACAUUUUUAAGUAAACUAUUUUUUUUUUUUUUUUCUGUUUCAAAUGCUGAGCAUACAUAACUAAACUGGAAGAAAAAAUGAAGUCCAAAACGCUAAAGCAACAGACAACCCAGAUCAAGAUGAGGUAGGCUACAUCCUGCUGAUUUACAGAUGAAGUCCAAAACGCUAAAGCAACAGACAACCCAGAGAUCAAGAUAAAGUAGGCUACAUCCUGCUGGUCAGACCAAAAUAAAGUACAUCCUGCUGAUUCACAGACCAAGAUAAAGAGCAUCCUGCUGAUUCACAGACCAAGAUAAAAGUUCCUCCUGCUGAUUUACAGACACUUGUAUGGCUGCUACUUGCGAUUAAGAACUGACUUCAAAUGAUAGCAAGAGGAUGAUUUAAGCAUACAUAACUAAACUGGAAGAACAGAUGAAGUCCAAAACGCUAAAGCAACAGACAACCCAGAUUCAGAUACAAAUUGUUGCUGUUCCAGAAGUAGUGCAUUUGCCAACAUAGUAAAGUCAUUGGAGUCAUUAACUUAUAUCAAAAUGUUUGGGUCAGUGUAUUCUGAGUGAAACAACUGAAGGUCAUUCAGCAUUAUAGAAAUGUGUACCUGUCUACUGGCCUCGCUAUGAAGAUAGAGAGUAAGCUACAUCCUAUUACUCUAGAAGAAGAACAGUCUACAGAUGAAUGGAACUAGCUCCUUUGGGCUUGAAAACUC